GGGCCCGCACAAGCGGUGGAGUAUGUGGUUUAAUUCGAUGCAACGCGAAGAACCUUACCAGGGUUUGACAUCCUGCGAAUCUCUUGGAAACAGGAGAGUGCCUUCGGGAACGCAGUGACAGGUGGUGCAUGGCUGUCGUCAGCUCGUGUCGUGAGAUGUUGGGUUAAGUCCCGCAACGAGCGCAACCCACGUCUUUAGUUGCCAGCACUUCGGGUGGGAACUCUAAGGAUACUGCCAGUGACAAACUGGAGGAAGGCGGGGACGACGUCAAGUCAUCAUGGCCCUUACGACCAGGGCUACACACGUGCUACAAUGGUAGGUACAGAGGGCAGCUACACAGCGAUGUGAUGCGAAUCUCAAAAAAGCCUAUCGUAGUCCAGAUUGGAGUCUGCAACUCGACUCCAUGAAGUAGGAAUCGCUAGUAAUCGCAGGUC
rnacentral:rRNA from 1 species